rnacentral:rRNA from 1 species
GAUGAACGCUGGCGGCAUGCUUUACACAUGCAAGUCGGACGGGAAGUGGUGUUUCCAGUGGCGGCCGGGUGAGUAACGCGUAAGAACCUGCCCUUGGGAGGGGAACAACAGCUGGAAACGGCUGCUAAUACCCCGUAGGCUGAGGAGCGAAAGGAGGAAUCCGCCCAAGGAGGGGCUCGCGUCUGAUUAGCUAGUUGGUGAGGUAAUAGCUUACCAAGGCCGUGAUCAGUAGCUGGCCCGAGAGGAUGAUCAGCCACACUGGGACUGAGACAAGGCCCAGACUCCUACGGGAGGCAGCAGUGGGGAAUUCUCCGCAAUGGGCGAAAGCCUGACGGAGCAAUGCCGCGUGGAGGUAAAAGGCCUACGGGUCAUGAACUUCUUUUCCUGGAGAAGAAACAAUGACGGUACCUGGGGAAUAAGCAUCGGCUAACUCUGUG